GACGGAGGAUGCAAGCGUUAUCCGGAAUUAUUGGGCGUAAAGCGUCCGCAGGUGGACAUACAAGUCUGCUGUCAAAGUGCAGAGCUUAACUCUGUAAAGGCGGUGGAAACUGUAGGUCUUGAGUAUGGUAGGGGUAGAGGGAAUUCCCGGUGUAGCGGUGAAAUGCGUAGAUAUCGGGGAGAACACCAGUGGCGAAAGCGCUCUACUGGGCCAUAACUGACACUGAGGGACGAAAGCUAGGGGAGCGAAAGGG
rnacentral:rRNA from 1 species